AUUGAACGCUGGCGGCAGGCCUAACACAUGCAAGUCGAACGAGUGGCGGACGGGUGAGUAAUGUCUGGGAAACUGCCUGAUGGAGGGGGAUAACUACUGGAAACGGUAGCUAAUACCGCAUAAGAUCGGAUGGGGCCAGAUGGGAUUAGGUAGAAGGUGGGGUAACGGCUCACCAAGGCGACGAUCCCUAGCUGGUCUGAGAGGAUGACCAGCCACACUGGGACUGAGACACGGUCCAGACUCCUACGGGAGGCAGCAGUGGGGAAUAUUGCGCAAUGGGCGCAAGCCUGAUGCAGCCAUGCCGCGUGUAUGAAGAAGGCCUUCGGGUUGUAAAGUACUUUCAGCGGGGAGGCGUUACCCGCAGAAGAAGCACCGGCUAACUCCGUGCCAGCAGCCGCGGUAAUUC
rnacentral:rRNA from 1 species